GCAAAAGUCACUUUAAAGUUUUUGCUAAAUUAAACCUUCUCUUUGCAGGUGUACGGUCCUAUCCGUCGGCGACCCGUUGAUUAGGUUGACCUCGGUUUAUGGGAAGAUUCCUUAGUACUCCGGCUCGAUGGUCCCCAAUUCAGCAACAGGUACCCCAGUAGGAUCCGUCCGCAAUCAGCUGCUUCAGGAAUGAUUUCAAUGAUGACGUGGAUGAGGUGCGUGUGAUUUCGGUGGAUGGCUUGCACGGCAGCCGAAAUCACCUGUCUCCGGUAUUUACCCUUCGCUCUUGGGGAAACCGUGCCAAAACCCAAGAGGGAGAAGUUGCACUUAACUUUGUCCACUUAUUUAAUAUGUAACAGUUCAAUAAAAUAGUUUGUAGAAUUUUUAA